GUUGAAUCCAGAACAUCUUUAAUGUUGAAAUCUCCUCGCUCUGGCAAUGGGAAGCUCAAAGAAGGAAAUGAAAGUUGAAAGCUAGCCAGCAACUGCACAAACAUUAGCCAAUGAUAUGUUUCCUAACUUUUGUAUGGAGUUCCCGAAAGUUUGGAUUAGAUUUCCCUUUACCUUGGAAGGAGGUGGGGAAAAGAAGUCAUAGUGGGGUCCAAGAGGCUGCUAAGAUUGAUUUGCCAAGGCCUUCUCCUUUGGCUGCCCUAGGCCUGGCCAUUGAUUUCCAAGGCUGAAAUGGGUAAUCGGUGGCUGUCCAACGGGGCUGAAACAACAAUUCCAGCAGCACAGUAGCUGGUGCUUGUCAGGUUCAUCUCAGGAAGGAAACGAGGAGAAUUUCCAGCAACAGUUCUCUUAGAAAUUCAUAUUCAUGUGGGGUCUCCAAGAUGCCCCAGUCAACUAAUUGUAUGAUAGCCUGUAACCUAUCCAUAUCUUUAAUGUUAUUGAUUGAUUCCAUUUAUUAAAAAUAAAAAUAGAAAACUUUCCUC